GACGAACGCUGGCGGCGUGCUUAACACAUGCAAGUCGAACGGAAAGGCCCUGCUUGCAGGGUACUCGAGUGGCGAACGGGUGAGUAACACGUGGGUGAUCUGCCCUGCACUUCGGGAUAAGCCUGGGAAACUGGGUCUAAUACCGGAUAGGAGCCAUUUUUAUUGUGAUGGUUGGAAAGUUUUUUCGGUGUAGGAUGAGCUCGCGGCCUAUCAGCUUGUUGGUGGGGUAAUGGCCUACCAAGGCGGCGACGGGUAGCCGGCCUGAGAGGGUGGACGGCCACAUUGGGACUGAGAUACGGCCCAGACUCCUACGGGAGGCAGCAGUGGGGAAUAUUGCACAAUGGGCGCAAGCCUGAUGCAGCGACGCCGCGUGGGGGAUGACGGCCUUCGGGUUGUAAACUCCUUUCGCUAGGGACGAAGCUUUUGUGACGGUACCUAGAUAAGAAGCACCGGCUAACUACGUG
rnacentral:rRNA from 1 species